rnacentral:rRNA from 1 species
AGUGAACGCUGGCGGUAGGCCUAACACAUGCAAGUCGAACGGCAGCACAGUAAGAGCUUGCUCUUACGGGUGGCGAGUGGCGGACGGGUGAGGAAUACACCGGAAUCUACUUUUUCGUGGGGGAUAACGUAGGGAAACUUACGCUAAUACCGCAUACGACCUACGGGUGAAAGCAGGGGAUCUUCGGACCUUGCGCGAUUGAAUGAGCCGAUGUCGGAUUAGCUAGUUGGCGGGGUAAAGGCCCACCAAGGCGACGAUCCGUAGCUGGUCUGAGAGGAUGAUCAGCCACACUGGAACUGAGACACGGUCCAGACUCCUACGGGAGGCAGCAGUGGGGAAUAUUGGACAAUGGGCGCAAGCCUGAUCCAGCCAUACCGCGUGGGUGAAGAAGGCCUUCGGGUUGUAAAGCCCUUUUGUUGGGAAAGAAACGCAGCAGGUUAAUACCCCGCUGUUCUGACGGUACCCAAAGAAUAAGCACCGGCUAACUUCGUG